CAAUCCAAAAUUUUCAUUUUCCCUCCGUCAAACAAUUUCCCACUUUAUACACUACAAAUUGAACCCUAACCUAACAUUUGUGCUGCCUCCAUCCCACCCUCGGUCUCUCUCACUGAAACUCGUCCAUUCUCUUUCUUUGCCCUAAUGAAGGAAAAAGUUUCUCAAUUUCUCAUACCCAAUUUUUUUAACUCUAGCCAUCGAUAGCUUGGAGGCCCCAAAUGCUAUAUUUCUGGCACUGUGGAUUCCAAGCUUGCUGUUAUUCUGGCCUCUGAUGUUUUUGGUACUUAUUUUCUAAAAUAUUUGAUUUUGGGUAUUGUAAAGUUUCUAUCUUGUGUUGAUGUAUUGUUUCUUCUGUAGUGUUUUUAUUUUAUUUUUAUUUUUAUUUUUUUACUGAAUACAGGUGGUAAAAAUUAUUUAUAUUCUUGAAUGUGUGUCAAUUCUAGGUUCCUUUAGUUAGAGUUUCAUUUGGCCAAGUUAGUUUUGUGUAUAAUAAAGUGGUUUAUUAUCACAGCAAGAUUUCAUUUUUGUUGCAUAUUUCAAUUGGGUUUUCUUAUUUAAGUGUUAUUUGUUUGCAGGCUAAAUGAAAAAUGAUACAUAUGUAAUUAUAAUUUCACAGCCUAAUAGGAAAGGUUUUGUUUAUUUUCAUUAUUAUGGGAUUUUGGUGUUGCAAAGUUUGUAUCUUAUUGCUUAAUAUGGUAUUGAUGAUUUUUAAGGCAUCUUAGCUUCUAUUCAUGUUCUUCUUUUUCUUGGGCUUAGAAGUUAAUUAACAUUUUUUUUGUAGAUGCCAAGCUAGUUGCUUUCAAGCUACUCAUCUUGCAUAAGCAACUUGAGUAUUGUCAUGCCUCUAGCAAAAUGGUUUUUCUUGUUUAAAGUCAUUUCACACUUUUUUUUUUCAUUAUCUUCCUUUAACUAUAGAUACCGACAGAAGGUGAUCCAAGUAUUUGAGAAAUGAAGCGAGGAUGAUGAUCAACAUUUCAUGAAGCAAGUUCCUUUCUAUAUUUUAUUUAUUACGAGAGAAAAAACAAUUCUCUCUUUUUGUUGUUCAAAUUAAAGAAGCCUCCCUUCUAUUCGAGAGUUAAAUAUACUCCCGGAAAGUUUGAUUAUGUUUGUUAAAAAGAUGGAUCUUAAUCUCUUCACCAUAAGGGAAGCUGUACUUAAUUAGAAUAUAGUUGUCACAUAGUCUUUUGGCUAAUUUUUAGAAACUAAAAGGGGAUAGAGGUUUAUUGUAAGAGGUGGAAGUGGAUAUUAUAGAAAUAAAUAUUUACUAUUAUUUUUACAUUCUUAUUUUUCUCAUUUGGUUUGAUCUAUGCAGGAUAUGAAGCUCCUUACUUGAGGUACUUAAUCUCGAUUUUCUUCCUAAAUUCGGAUAAGAUUUUACUCCUGUGUAAUUGAUAUUAUAGAACUUAUUGAUUUUACAGAUGUUUCCUCCCUGUUCUAGGCGUAUGGUUGAUAUCCUUGUAUACCUAACUUGCUAGAUUCCUACAUAGCCAUGUCUAAUUAAUGUAAAGCGAUUUAAUGUUGAGAUUCUAACUUGCUAGUUUCUUGAGCUGGGAUUUGAUAGUGGUUGUAGAAUCUUAACGGAAUCAAAGGUGGAUUUAAUAGGCUUUUGUUCGUGGCAGAAUCAGAAGGAAGUUUAAUAAGCUUGGUUUGGUUCUUUGUUGAACUGAUAUUGGAUUUAAUGAGCUGGGUUUGGUUCUUGGAUAAACUUGCAUUGGAUUUAGUAACCUUGGUUGUACUUUUUGAGGAAGAUAGUUUGGUAAAAGUAGUUUUCUUCUUAAUAACUGGCUCAUCUUCUUCUUCUGCCUGUAACAUUGAUCUUCUUCUACCAAAACUUUUUGGUAGGUUUACAGAGCUGAAUUUUGAAGUGAAGAAAACCAAGAGAACAAGCAAAAACAAUACCUUUUUCAAACUGAAAUCUUGGAGUGGAGCCAUAUGUUGAAAAUGUACCGAAAUAUAUGUUUGUUUUUCUUUGAUCUCUUAUGAGGCUUUUCCAAGAAUUAAGGUCUUAGUUGGAUCUAGAUUUCAGUAAAAGAAAUGCAUUUAUUGGGAUGAAAAUACACACUUCUGAGUGUGUGGGUGUGUGUGAAAAGUUGUUGUGAAGUAUAGGAAACAGAGAAGACUUUCAAUGCAAGGCACACAAGAUUAGAUCAGCCACAUGCAGCCUUUCCUUUUCUCCAAAUAUUUGGUAGUUGAAACGGUUGCUCCAUGUUGUGGCUUUCCUUUUCUCCAAAUAUUUGGCAUUCUAUAAAUAUGUGGCAUGAUGGAGUUUCCUGGCACAAACUGUCCAAUUGAAGCUGGGAGUGAUUGUACUUGUGUAUUUCAAACCAAAGAUCAGAUUGGAACAUUUAUAUACUUUCCCUCCAUUAGUUUCCACAAGGUCAGUUUGAGUAUUCUCGAAGUAGGUAGUUUGUAUUGGAAUUUUAGUUAAUCAAGUUAGGAAGUAUAAUAUACAUUAUAACAAUUACUAUCCCGAACUCAGAUUGAAAGAAUUUGAUUGAAGUAUUUGGCAUAGUAAGUGUCACGGAAAUGCAUGUGAAGAUUUCUAGGAGGGAAUGGAUUUUGAAUUGGGAGAAUGUUCUUGUGUUUAUUUUCAUAUAUAAGACUAAGACUGAUUAUUCAAUUGAUAUAUCUGCUGCAUUUUGGCCUGCAGGUGCCAUUGAAGUUAAUUCAGAAUGUUGGAAUUUAAGCAUUCCUGAUGCUAGAAGCAUUCUUUAAUUCAACUCAUGUCGAAGAUUGCUAAGAAGAAAAUUAAGGAGGCCGAUGGGGUGGUUUUACUCACCACUUAGUUUUUGGUAUUUUUUUUUUUUGGAAAAUGUAUUGGAUUUUUUUGGUGUUUUAGAAUUUUGGAAGUGGACUUUGUACGGAUAUUGUUACAUUUUUAAGUUCAAUUAAUAAUGAUUAUUGGAAUUAUUUGAUAUUGUUAUA
rnacentral:lncRNA from 1 species